CGCUAGCUACAGGCUUAACACAUGCAAGUCGAGGGGCAGCAUUUCAGUUUGCUUGCAAACUGGAGAUGGCGACCGGCGCACGGGUGAGUAACACGUAUCCAACCUGCCGAUAACUCGGGGAUAGCCUUUCGAAAGAAAGAUUAAUACCCGAUGGCAUAAUUAGACCGCAUGGUCUUAUUAUUAAAGAAUUUCGGUUAUCGAUGGGGAUGCGUUCCAUUAGGCAGUUGGUGAGGUAACGGCUCACCAAACCUUCGAUGGAUAGGGGUUCUGAGAGGAAGGUCCCCCACAUUGGAACUGAGACACGGUCCAAACUCCUACGGGAGGCAGCAGUGAGGAAUAUUGGUCAAUGGGCGCAGGCCUGAACCAGCCAAGUAGCGUGAAGGAUGACUGCCCUAUGGGUUGUAAACUUCUUUUAUAUGGGAAUAAAGUUUUCCACGUGUGGAAUUUUGUAUGUACCAUAUGAAUAAGGAUCGGCUAACUCCGUGCCAGCAGCCGCGGUAAUACGGAGGAUCCGAGCGUUAUCCGGAUUUAUUGGGUUUAAAGGGAGCGUAGGUGGACAGUUAAGUCAGUUGUGAAAGUUUGCGGCUCAACCGUAAAAUUGCAGUUGAUACUGGCUGUCUUGAGUACAGUAGAGGUGGGCGGAAUUCGUGGUGUAGCGGUGAAAUGCUUAGAUAUCACGAAGAACUCCGAUUGCGAAGGCAGCUCACUGGACUGCAACUGACACUGAUGCUCGAAAGUGUGGGUAUCAAACAGGAUUAGAAACCCUGGUAGUCCACACAGUAAACGAUGAAUACUCGCUGUUUGCGAUAUACAGUAAGCGGCCAAGCGAAAGCAUUAAGUAUUCCACCUGGGGAGUACGCCGGCAACGGUGAAACUCAAAGGAAUUGACGGGGGCCCGCACAAGCGGAGGAACAUGUGGUUUAAUUCGAUGAUACGCGAGGAACCUUACCCGGGCUUAAAUUGCAUUUGAAUAAUCUGGAAACAGGUUAGCCGCAAGGCAAAUGUGAAGGUGCUGCAUGGUUGUCGUCAGCUCGUGCCGUGAGGUGUCGGCUUAAGUGCCAUAACGAGCGCAACCCUUAUCUUUAGUUACUAACAGGUCAUGCUGAGGACUCUAGAGAGGCUGCCGUCGUAAGAUGUGAGGAAGGUGGGGAUGACGUCAAAUCAGCACGGCCCUUACGUCCGGGGCUACACACGUGUUACAAUGGGGGGUACAGAAGGCAGCUACCUGGUGACAGGAUGCUAAUCCCAAAAGCCUCUCUCAGUUCGGAUCGAAGUCUGCAACCCGACUUCGUGAAGCUGGAUUCGCUAGUAAUCGCGCAUCAGCCAUGGCGCGGUGAAUACGUUCCCGGGCCUUGUACACACCGCCCGUCAAGCCAUGAAAGCCGGGGGUACCUGAAGUACGUAACCGCAAGGAGCGUCCUAGGGUAAAACUGGUAAUUGGGGCU
rnacentral:rRNA from 1 species